rnacentral:rRNA from 1 species
GAAUUUUCGUCAAUGGGCGCAAGCCUGAACGAGCAACGCCGCGUGCAGGAUGACGGCCUUCGGGUUGUAAACUGCUUUUCCGAGGGAAGACAUCGACGGUACCUCGGGAAUAAGGCUCGGCUAACUCUGUGCCAGCAGCCGCGGUAAGACAGAGGGGCCAAGCGUUGUCCGGAUUGACUGGGCGUAAAGCGCACGCAGGCGGUCUGGCGCGUGGGGUGUGAAAUCUGGCCGCUUAACGGCCAGGCGCCAUCCCAUACGGCCGGACUGGAGUGAUGCAGAGGGCGGUGGAAUUGCCGGUGUAGUGGUGAAAUGCGUAGAGAUCGGCAGGAACACCCAGGGGGAAACCAGCCGCCUGGGCAUCGACUGACGCUGAGGUGCGAGAGCGUGGGGAGCGAACCGG